rnacentral:rRNA from 1 species
AGCUCCAAUAGCGUGUAUUAAAGUUGUUGCGUCUAAAAAGCUCGUAGUUGGAUUUCUGCCGAGAACGACCGGUCCGCCUCUGGGUGUGUAUCUGGCUCGGCCUGGGCAUCUUCUUGGAGAACGUAGCUGCACUUGAUUGUACUUACUUUGAGGAAAUUAGAAUGUUUCAAGCAGGCACACGCCUUGAAUACAUUAGCAUG